rnacentral:rRNA from 2 species
UGGGGAAUAUUGGGCAAUGGGCGCAAGCCUGACCCAGCAAUGCCGCGUGAAGGAAGAAGGCCCUCGGGUUGUAAACUUCUUUUAUCAGGGACGAAGGAUGUGACGGUACCUGAUGAAUAAGCUCCGGCUAACUACGUGCCAGCAGCCGCGGUAAUACGUAGGGAGCAAGCGUUAUCCGGAUUUACUGGGUGUAAAGGGCGCGUAGGCGGGAUGGCAAGUCAGAUGUGAAAUCCAGGGGCUCAACCCCUGAACUGCAUUUGAAACUGUCGUUCUUGAGUACUGGAGAGGUUGACGGAAUUCCUAGUGUAGCGGUGAAAUGCGUAGAUAUUAGGAGGAACACCAGUGGCGAAGGCGGUCAACUGGACAGCAACUGACGCUGAGGCGCGAAAGCGUGGGGAGCAAACAGG